GCUAUGCCACAAUCAAAGAAAAUUCCAGAAGAGAUUUAAAAAGUUGUAGAAAUAUAUCAGUCUGGAAAGGUUUACAACGUCAUUUCUAAGGCUCUAGGACUCCACUGAAUCACAGCUAUUAUCUGCAAAUGGUAAGCACUUGGAACAGUGGUGAAUCUUCCUUGGAGUGGCCAGCCUGCAGUGACAACUCAUCCAGGAAGUCACUUAUCAUCCCAGAAAAACAUCCAAAGAACAGCAGUCCUAUCAAGCUUCAGCUAAGAAAGCGGAACAACAAUUGGCUGGAAUGGCGGCGAGAGACAGCUUGGAGGUGGCAGGCAGACUGAUGACUCACCAUCCAUGGCAAACGGGGCUGUCAGACUGCACGGUUUGUUUUGACACAAAAAUGGCACCUUAAAAUACCUUUCCAAAUCCGAACAGCUGAGAUCAUGGUCAGAGAUAGGCUUCUGUGAUUCACACAGAGCACCACCACACUGCGGCUGUGACCUCCAGCUGACACCUCUGGUGGGCACAAAUAGACGAGUACUUCGCACCAAGGCGUCCCCUGUGGUGCCUAAAUCACCCUGUAAGAAGCCACCGAGCAGGCCUGGAGGAGACAGGGGAGCUACCACAGGGAAGUGAUUAAGAAGCCUGAGUAAGCCCAGCCUCGCUUAAUUUGUACUGCCAGGAAACAAAGUUUCCUUUAACACGCUGACCUUCCUCAGUCUCCAUGGUGAUGCUCCAAUCCCUCCACAUUCCAUAUAUAUAUAUAUAUUUAAUGUCCAUAAACAGUGUUAAAUAAUGCUACACAUAACACAAGAUUGUCGUAUGCUCUUCAGCUGUUUUCUUUAUUCAUUUGUAUAGAAACCGCCAAUGUAUCUCUGCACUGAGUUUUGGUUAAGGUCUUGUAGCAGAACAAGGAUUUCCUUCGCCUCUCAUGAUCCCUGAAAAGAAUUAUGGAGGGGAGAUGCGUAAUUGUUGUUUUGGUUUCAUUUAAAUUAAUUGACAUGACAAGGCUAAGAGCUCAGAUUGAACAGACUGCACCUGGCAGCACAGCAAUAAGGAAGUACCAGUGGGUAAACACACUCUCUGCACCCCAUGAACUGUUGGGUCCAGUGCUGCUUUUCCUUCCAUUUCAGUGGCACAUUCACCAGGAGAGUCCUGUGACUUGGUGUUCCAUGUGCAAAUUAGCCUUAAACUGAAAGGCCAACAAAGCACAAAAUCUGUUAGGACUCUGUAGCCCUGCUCUGGACGUCCGAUUCUCUCUUCUGUUCCAGUUUCCAAAUAUUUCACUCUUUUCAUAAGACAAUUGAUAAACAUUAUUUUAUCACCUCAAUAAAUGUUAAUCAUUUUCACAGCCGUCUGAAUAACUGUGAAGUCUAGACCGCAGUACGCAAGUGGACAACUCGAUGGCAUGUAGGGGAGUGUUAUUUUUGUACACACAGUGCUUUUAAAGCCAAAGGUAGCUAAUUUGUGAUUGGUUGGCACUGUAUGUCGGAUCAACCAUUAUCCCUGGGUUUUAGUUCCUUUGAAAAUGGUUAUUCCAGAGACAGAGCUAAGGGCCAAGGAGCAGCCAGUGACUGGCUGGCUGUACUAUACCUUUCCCCCAAAGGAAUUCUUGGAUACAGGAAUGGCCACCGAUUAUGCCCCAGAACCAUGAUGUGGAACAGGUCCAACAUUUGUUCGGGCCAGAGCUGAACACCUGUCAUGAGCAUCCAAACCCUAAGGUCCUAGUGACAGAUUUGUAAAUGAGCAUUGAAUGCAGAUGCAAGGUCAUUUGUGAUCUGACAGUGUGAGUGUGCACUGAAUCUGCCUGUUUAUUGUACAAUCACAGUAUGUACAGUAUGUAAUAUUGAGUGCAAUUUGCUUUGACAGCAUUUCAUAUGUACAGAAGUUAACACUCAGGAAAAUAUGUAACAUUUAUUUGGGACAUAAGAUUGUGUAAUUGUGCAAUAAAGUAGAAUCAUCAUGCAGAGCUGGUAUUUUAAUACACUGCCAAUUUUUCCCAAGAGUAAAAUAAAUUGCACUAUUGAAGUCUUUGAAAAUUCCAAGUCGACAAA